ACUUGCAAACUAAGGGGAAUGAGCUUCCUUCUGAAUGUUUAUGAAGGAGAGGCCACUGUGAGGAUAGACAGUGAAGUGCAACUACAGCCCGCAAAUGAAAAUGAAUAAUAUUAAUCCAGCCCCUCAAGGCAGUCAUCUGUCUUAGAGCUAUUGGAAUCCUGGAUCAUUGUGGGAAAUGAAAGAUACUUCGAUGGAAUCAGCAGCCAUUGAUCCAAUGCCAACUCCAAGACUGGAACGUCGCAAUGAUAGUUCCAAGGCGGAAAUUUGACGUAAUUCUUUUCGACACAGUUUUACAGGUCUGGAUGCCCAUUUUAAUUCUUCUGAAAGCAUGCCUCCUCCUUCUGGCUUCAGGACUCCAUCUCCAGCCUCUUGAUCUAAAAAUAAUCCCCAAACCAAAAAAUUAGAUACUAUUUCCUCAAAAUUAGGUAUUUUAAUCAAAACAUCUUAACAUAAAUACAUUAUUAUCACCCAAUAUG
rnacentral:lncRNA from 1 species